rnacentral:rRNA from 1 species
UACGUAGGGGGCGAGCGUUGUCCGGAAUCAUUGGGCGUAAAGCGCGUGUAGGCGGCUCGAUAAGUCCGGUGUGAAACCUUGGGGCUCAACCCCAAGCCUGCACUGGAUACUGCCGAGCUAGAGUCCGGGAGGGGAGAGCGGAAUUCCUAGUGUAGCGGUGAAAUGCGCAGAUAUUGGGAAGAACACCGGUGGCGAAGGCGGCUAUCUGGCCCGUAAUUGACGCUGAGGCGCGAAAGCGUGGGGAGCAAACAGG